UACCUAUUGAUAGUACUUCAUUUCUUACUUUUUUUCUAGGCAUUUUCACAUUUUCUGUAUCAGAAUUCUGCAUGUAAGAUCCUAACUGAAUUGCAGAGUAUUUUGGAUAUUGUUCUUUAGUCUUGAAUCACUUCCCACUUGUCAUUGUAUCUCUUUCAUGGUUUUUUCUGUUUUAGUGGGCUAGUUAAUUUCUUUAAUUGCUGGAGAGAGAAGUUCCUUAAAUUAGGUUGAGAAAGUGUUUUGGUAUGAUUUCUUGGUAGCAAAUCCCUAGUUUGUUUAUUUUGUAAAAAAAAAUCCUUCAUUAAUCCUUUUCUCUUUUUUGGGUACUUUAUGUUGAAGCAUCCAUUUAAGAAAAAAGUCUAAUAUUGUGAAAGGAUAUCUGAGCUUUUAUUAUAAUGAAGAAAGAGGUCUAACACGUAGGCGAAAACGAAAAUUCUAUAGUACCAUUAUUAGACCAACUAUAUUUUAUGGAGCAGAGUGUUGGGCCAUAAAAAAGAUAUGUGAAUAACGCCUUCAUGCAGUGGAAAUGAGAAUGUCAAGAUGGAUGAGUGGAGUGACUAGAAGAGAUAGGGUCAUGGUGCUACCCCGAGGUGUAUCAAAAAAGAUGUUUAUAUGUGGCAAAUGGGACAUCAACUUUUAUAUUUAUAAAACCAAUAAACAAGUAUACAUUAGUAUAGUGAGAAGGGAUUGUCCACUGGGAUUAUUGGCUUGGAAUUUAACUUAACAUCAAUGAGCGUGAGAUUGAAAAGAUAGUGAUUGGUUUGAUUAAACUAAUGAUGAUUUUACUAUGUAAAUCAUGCAAAUGAAAUAAAGCUAAAGUAAACUUGGAUUAAGGUAAUAAGGAGGGAGGCUUAGGGCAUGGAUUACACCACUAAGCUCAUGCUGUUAUAACAAAUGCCUUCAAUUAAUGGGGAAAACAAAUUGUAAUAGGAAUGUGGCUAUAAGCACACAUCAAUGUUCAAGAAGAUAAUACAAAUUGCAAUGAAUAAGUAUGAACUAUCAAACUCAAGCAUGAAUUGUCUACCUAACUACAAUUACUCUAAGGUGUAGAACAACCCAUCAAGACUAAGCAUAAUCCAUCAAACUAAGAGCAAUUGUAUCCAAUAAAAACCAUGCAUGGCCAUCACUAAACACAAUUACAAAGAGUACUCAAUGUAGAGAUCAACCCUCAAUUAAUCACACAUGAGACAACAUGGAAUCAAAAUAGAGAAUCAAUUGGAAGAAUUAACAAUAUAAACCUUGGUACAACCAAGUUUGAAUUCACAAGACCAAGCACUUAAUUACAAUUAAUAAUCCCCAAAAUUAAAAGACAAGAGGUUUGUCAAAAUUGAAGAGAGAAAUAGAAAAUGAAGCACACAAGGAUACACGCACAAAGCCCAAAGGGCUACAUCAUCUUUAUUUUAUUCUCUUAAGAUUGUUUACAAUGAGCACCUCUAUUUAUAGGAGAAAGAACGAAGUGAAAAAUAUGGAAAAUACAUUAAUGGAGGAUUCAUAAAAUCAAUCCCAUAAAUCACCGCAAUCAUAUUUUAUCAUAGACUAAAAUCACUCCCACAAUAUUUUCAGAGCAAUAUUCUGUGGAGUAAUUUAAGGUUCCUAUAAUAAUAUUCUCCAACACCCUCCCUCAAGUUGGUACAUGGAGAUUUUAACUCAAGUGUCUAACUUGAAACUAAGUAUGAAAUUGUUGAGAGUCUGAAAUGAGUUGCAAAGAUCCGAGACAAGUUGAUCCGAAGAUCCGAGACGAAUUGAUCCGUAGAUCGGAGACGAGUUGAUCCGUAGAUCGGAGACGAGUUGAGUAUAGAGUAUGGUAUGAUAAACUUGCUCUGAUACCAUGUCAAAAUUGAAGAGAGAAAUGGAAAAUGAAGCACACAAGGAUACACGCACAAAGCCCAAAGGGCUACAUCAUCUUUACGAUAUUCUCUUUUAAGAUUGUUUACAAUGAGCACCUCUAUUUAUCGGAGAAAGAACAAAGCGAUAAAUAUGGAAAAUACAUUAAUGGAGGAUUCAUAAAAUCAAUCCCAUAAAUCACUCCAAUCAUAUUUUAUCAUAGACUGAAAUCACUCCCACAAUAUUCUCAGUGCAAUAUUAUGUGGAGUAAUUUAAGGUUCCUAUAAUAAUAUUCUCCAACAAGGUUUAAUUACACAAACUUAGGGCUUAUCCAAGCCCUAAGUGAAGAACUAGCCACUCAUGGAGAAGGUAGAUGUCAUCAUGGUGGUCUCACAAUCCAUCUCCAAGCUUGGGUUCAUCUUGUUCUUCUUCUUCCUUGGUGGAAACCCUAGAGAGAGAAUGUAGAGAGAGAGUGUCCAAAUUUUCUAUCCAAACUUCUAAUCGUCCAACCUCCCUUUGCAAAUUGGGUUCAUCUUUUAUUUAUAAGUGACUCUUUUUAUUUUUAUUUUUUUUAUAUAAGUAAAGAUAUAUUAACAAACGUGCUCAGAGGGGAGCAAACCCUUAACAAAACAAAUAAAACAAAAACGCAAACGCGUUAAUAAAACGAUUAGUUGUCAACAAAAUCCAAAAAAACUAUCUAUAGAUGGGCAAUUUUUCCCAUUAACCCAAGAAUAAAGAGAAUGCAAAAUAUUUGCCUUGAUAACCUACACCGGUGAUUCUUGUCCUUUGAAAGAUCUUUUAUUCCUCUCAUGCCACAACCCUUACCAAAUACAAAGAGGUGCAACCCUCCCCGCCUUCCUAACCCGACUUUCCACUCUACUCUCUCUCCAAGCUUCUAACAUAUCCAUCGUUUUACUUGACACUACCCAUUCCACCCCAAAAACAUUCAGCAUCAGACUCCAAACAUCCGCUGCCACUCUACAAUGCAACAAGAGAUGAUUAACCGAUUCGCCCGCCUUCUUACACAUGCAACACCAAUUAACUAUUAUUUGGCGUCUUUUUUUGCGAUUAUCCAAAGUAAGAAUGCUGCCAAGCGCCACUGUCCACGUGAAAAAAGCCACCUUUAUUGGAGUUGAAGUCCUCCAAACAGCCUUCCACCUUUAUAUGUGACUCUUAGGAUCCGAAAAUGGCCAAAAUAUAUGCACAAGGACACCUGAUGGAUUGCACCCCGAGCCCCCUUGAAUCAAGGCUUAAAACAUGAUUUUUGCACCAGACUUCAAUCCGAUUGCGCGGGUCAGAAGUCUGAACGAGCGGAGUCCGAACACAGUCUGAGUGAUCGGAUUUCCCUUGACUUUGACUUUGAACUUCUUUUGAUUGCUCUUCCAAGGCUUGACAUCUAUCAAUCUCUGCGGUAACGGAAUUAACCCUGUUUAGUAUGCAAAGUCUAAAAGCAAAGAAUAAAACAAAUUGCGAUUAGUACCGGAAAGUAAAGAUAAACUAAGUUACUAACUAAUGAAGAUUAAGGGUUGAAUAACGCAUAUUUCAGCACUUAUCAGGUCACUAAUGAAAGUAUGAGAGGAAAAUUAGGUGUAGCACCCAGUUGUGAGAAAAUUAGAGAGAAUAGACUUAGAUUGCUUGGACACAUACAUUGGAGAUCUAGAGAUGCGCCAGUCAAACGAGGAAGACUAGUUGUUAUAGAAGGUAGAGACGGAGAGGGUGACCAAAAAUAAUAGGGUAAAGUGCAAAAAAUCCCCCUAUACUAUCGAUAUAGUGCAAAAAAGUCUGUGUAGUUUAAAACCCCCUUAAACUAUCGAUUUGGUGCAAAUAGCCCCCUUGAGUCUUAAAAUGAUUGUAAUGCCCUCAUGUCAAUAGAAUAAAUUAAUAGGUAAAAAUGCAUGCCAUGUAAAAUGACCGUUUUGUCCAAUUAUCAUAGGAGGUUGCUAGCUCACUGUAUUGUAAUGCAUGGAACCGAAACUGUUCUCCAAUCAACCAUCUUUCACCAUUGCUCCAAAGCUGCCUUUUGUUUAAUGUACUCCAACAAUAAUAUUUAACCAAUUCUGGAAAGUAACAACUAUACAGAAGCUUUUGUGGGUGUACAUCCACUGUCUAUUACCAUUACACCAAAAUUUAUAUUUAUCUUAAUGAAUUUCAAAGAAAAAUAUUUGUUUAUUAUCACAUAUGUUAUAACCCGGCCCAAAUUUUAAAAUAUGUUAUACUCAUGGUUAAUAAUUUUAUGGUACCAGUAAUUUUAUAUAUAUAUAUAUAUAUUUUAUUUUCUCUUUUCACAUGUAUUGGUAUAUUUAAUAAUAAAUUUUCUCAUCAUCCGGCUAGUGGCCCAGCGGUACCAAGCCCCUACUUCUCAUAGGGAGGUCAGGGGUUCAAGCCUCAGUGGAGGCAUGGGUGUGAGUACUAACUAAAGGAAAAAAAAAAAAAAAAAUUCUCCUAUUGUUAUUUAUUAAUUUUGUAAAAUUUAUAUUUACCUUUUGUUUGGUAGAUUUGAAUAAUACAUUGAUUUACAUUUUGUUUGGUAGAUUUGAUAGAUGAUGAUUGUUUCCCAGUUAAUUUUAACCGUCAAAUUUUUGUCAUUGUAAUUCUUAUUCAUUAGUGAAAGCUUGACUUUGAUAUAUAAUCUCUUGUAAGUCAACAUUUAUUAAGAAGAUUUUUAUUAUUAUUUAACCUUGCUGUCUACCUUCUUCACACACAACAAAUUAAAAUUAAAAUUAAGAAUGCUGAUCGUGUUGACCGUCUUAUGUUGCUUAGUUGUUUUGUUGGUUUCAGGCGAAAAAUGAAUAGAUAAAUAAAGGAAAUGGGUUGGGAGGGGGGUUUUAUUACAUAUUAUGUGAGAGGGGCAAAAUGGGAAGAAAAAAGGGCAAAAUCGAGUUUUCAUAUUUACUUUUUGCCAAAAAGUGGUCAGAGGGGGUUAUUUGCACCUUUUUUUUUUGAAAAACAGGGACUGGCAUGCACCUUUUUUAAAAAAAUAGGGACUGACAAUGCUCACGUUUGAAAAGGAGGGGGGCAUUGUGCACAAAACCUAUACUACAUGGGGGUUUUCUGCACUUAACCCAAAAUAAUAUGGGAUGAGGUUAUCAAAAAUAACUUUAAAAAGUUAAAUAUAGUAGGUGAAAUGGCAUGUAACAGUAAAGGUUGGAGAGAGAAUUCUUGUCACCUACCCCAUUCAUAUGGGAUUAAGGCUAGGACGAUGACUAUGUUGAUGAUGAUGAUGAUGAUGAACGAGGUCUAAUAUUGCUUUUCAGAUGUAUUAAAGACUUAAUUGAUUUAUGUUGCAACUCUUGUAAUACACGCAGGAUGAACUAUGAGAAGAUAAAAUACAAAAAGUUUUUGAACUUUUCGAUACUUAUCUGCAACAUAAUAAUAAAAGCAUUAUUACCUGUACUAGUUACGUGGGGUUCAACAUAAAUAAUAAUAAAACAAAUUGAAACAAUUUUGAUAGUGUCAGUGGUCAGUCAAAAGUUUUAAUAAAUUGAUGGUUUUAGUUGGAUAUGCUGCAGCAGUGUGAAUGUCCUUAUAUAUGCUCCAACUUCUAAUAAGUAAUAAGAAUCUUCUGGAUCGAAAUUUUAAUUACCUCAGUUCCUAAUCUAAUAAGCAUAUUACAAGGCAUAAAAUUAACCUUUUAAACAAUAAAUUCUUGGUGCCUAUGACUAUGGUCUGUCUUUAAUGGGUCUUGGCUGUAUUGGACUUAGAGGUUUGUACCCCUAAUCUUUUUACAAGGCUCCAAGAACUAGAGUUUGAACUGGUAAUGCAUUUUCUGUGGGCAUACAAACUAAAAGUAAAAGCCCUUACAGAGUGUGUCUGCUUCAGGUGCUAGAAGGGCUUAAUUGAGAGAAAUAAUAAUAAUAAACUUGGAAAUAUUCCACCAAAAGUGGCCGUUCUAACACUUGAAUGUGAAUUUUCACACUUAACAGUCCUAAAUUUUUCCAUUGAACCAAACAAUAGCCCUAGAUAUCGAACUAAAAGUAGGGUUGAGAAAAGUGUUAAUAUUUAGGUCUGUAAAGACAUCUCUCAUUCUAAUAAAUGGCCUUCUAUGAAUAUUAUACCACUGGACUUAUUGAAGUAACACUUGAAAAUCUUAUUAUAUCUGAACACUUUUUUAUUUUAUUUAUUUUUUAUUGGCCCAUCUCUCUCUGUAUUACUAAUAGCAUAUGACCAUUUUAUUUUACUUGUAAGCUUUAGGUUCUUGAGAUGGAUUAUAUCUUGUAACAAACCUCUGUUUUCUACUUUGAGUUUGCUCUUAAUAUCUUGUAACAUUACUAUCAUGAGAACCAUUCAAUAGAUUCAAGCACUUCAUUAUGGAAAUGCAUGUCUCAAUCCAUCGCCUCCAUUUUGCCCCAAAUAUCAUCCUCUCCAUCACAUACAGCAAGAAGACCCCAAUGAACAUGAUCACCGAAUUUGUCAUUGUCUACCUUACAAACCACCCAUGGCUACAAAUUCCUAAGUUCGAGUCUACACUCUUUUGCAACAAACCACCACAUCCAAAAUCUAGCUUCCGCACACAAAAGCAUUCCAAGACUUUCACUAACCACCCUUCUCAACCUCAGUGAUUGAAUUUCAACCAAGAGCUUAAUUCCACCAAGCUUAUUGGCUUAAAAUCCUUAAUAUUUAUUGCACCUUUCAAGACUAGAGAUUUCUAUGAUCGGGUUAUCAAGUGUGAGAAGUUGAGAACACAGGAUUGUAUCCUGAGAGCAGCCGCUAAAUGUAAAUAAAGCAAAAUGUUAGUUCUAACACCAACCAACACUGCUAGAAGAAAAAAAAAAGUGAUAUUUCAGCCCUUUGGGCUAGGCUCCUUUUGCUCAAUACCUCCACUAGAUCUUCCUUUGUAAAGGAACUCACAAACUAAUUUGCCUCCUCAUUAAUAGUGUUAGAUUCCAAAAUAUUAAGCAAAAUUCAUCUAUUGGUAUGCUCAAUAUGAAGAUUCUCAUAAAGUUAGAUGACCAGUGUAAAAUCCCAUCAAUCGUUCGUCUUCUCACCAUCUAUAAUUAUUCGAUUCAUUUGGUUCCCCUUCUAUGUACAUUAGCACCCUGUGAAAGAAUUUUGUAUUCCUAGAACAGCGUAAAACUCCCAUCAAUCGUUCGUCUUCUCACCAUCUAUAAUUAUGUGAUUCUUUUGGUUCCCCUUCUAUGUACAUUAGUACCCUGUGAAAGAAUUUUGUAUUCCAAACUACCUCUUCAAGCACAGAGCUCUAGACUUCUACCAACUCAUUUCUUCUAAACGAAAUCAAUCUACCCACUUCACCUUUUUUUUUUUUAUAAUAUUUUUUUUUUUUACCAUGCUCCUAGCUUUUGUAUUUUAAGAACCAACUUCCUCAUCCAAAGAUUUAAGUUCCUGCAAAGCCCGUACCAGCCUGACUUCCAUCUCUUUUCUGAGCAUUUUGCAUUUUUCUGGCCAACACAAACCUCGGGAAACCUUUAGCCCUAUACCCUUGCCUCCAAUCUCUGGCCAUCUUCUCAAAACCCUCCUCUUUAACCACAUCAUUUCAAAUUUAAACAGGCGUUUAUUUCUAUGAAGGUCGCUACUGUCCUACAUUAUUUUUACAUGUUUCUAGACAUGCUGGAAGGCAAACUUAAGAGACGUCCAAAAUAUUGCUCAUCUCGCUCUGCCAAAACUAGAAAUCUAUACCAUUAAGACAUAGACGACAAAUAUCAUCAACAAAAUCAUAGAACUAUCUCUUAAGCCUUGUGUAAAGUCCAAAUGUUGGGUUGGGAAAAUUUCAUAAACGGACGAUUCCAUGGUUGAACAAAUUUUUUUUGAUAAGUAAAAAUUCAUUAAAGGCACUCAAAAGGGGAGCGCUCCCAAAGAACAACAAGCCGCCUAAAUAGUGACACUACAUCUUUAAGCUCCACAAAAUCCAAAAGACUAUCUAUAGAUAUGCAAUUUCGCCCAUUAACCUAAAAGAAUAAAGAAGACUGUAUAUUAUAUUUGAGAGACCAAAUAGGAGACUCCACCCCUUCAAAGGAUCUCCUAUUUCUCUCGAGCCUCGAGCCCCACCAAAUACAAAGGGGGGUGGCCCUCCAAGCAUCUCUAACUUGGCUCUCCACUGUACACCCUUUCCAUGACUCAAAAAAAUCAACUAUUGACUGAGGAAAUACCCAAGCCACACCAAAAGCAACCAAGAACAUAGCCCAAAUAUCCCUCACCACAGGGCAGUGAAGCAAAAGGUGAUUCACAGAUUCCCCCGAUCUCUUACACAAGCAACACCAGUUCACCAUAACCUGAUGUCUCCUUCUGAGGUUGUUGAGAGUGAGGAUACUCCCAAGGGCAGCAGACCAUGCAAAAAAAGCCACCUUCAAAGGCGCUUUUGUCUUCCAAACAACUCUCCAAGGGAAAGAGGGGCCAGGGAUCUCCAUAAGACUUUGAUAAUAGGAUCCAACCUCAAACUCCCCUCUCAAGGAUCCCUCCCACACCAUCAUAUCCAUACCCACUUCCUCCACCACUUGGUUGUAAAUCAAGGCAAGGAAGUCUGAAACAUCUGUAAGCUUCCAAUCAUGGAACUGUCUGCGAAAUUGCACAUCCCAAGCCACCUUUCCAUUAUCAAGCUGAUAACAGUCAGCAACUACAGCAUGCUUGUUCCCAGAAAUGUCAUGGUUGAACAAAUGUCAUUGUAGUAUCGAGUAUGAGUAAAUUUUUUGAGGAAGCUUUAUGGUUAAGUGGGAUUGAAGAUGCAUUUCAAUGCACUCCAAGAUUGAUUCUUCAUCGACUUGAGUCACACAUUAGGGCAUGGUACACUAUGAUUCUUAUGGGUGCAAAAACAACCGGUUGAAUUGGACCAAACUUGAUCCAUCGGUUUGGUUCGGUUUUCUACGGUUUGGUUCGGUCCCCCAGUUCUAAAAACAUGGAACCGUUUAUAAACGGUUCGGUUCUGGUUUGAAGUCCAACUGGACCAAACCGAAUUGAACCAAACUAUUAUAUAAAUUGUAUAUAUAUUUAUAUUUUAUACGAUAUAAAUAAAAGAAUAACAAGAUCAGCCGUUUAGCCACUCAACUAUAUUUUAUAAUAUAUAAUAGGGUUAAAUGCAAAAAACCCCCUUGAACUAUUGGCUUAUUGCAACAAACCCCCUCGAACUACAAAAAACCUCCGUGAACUAUCAAUUUGUUAAUUAAGGACAAUCUGGCAGCUGGAUUAAUCGGAAAAAGUAAAAUACAAGUGUACCCUUACUAAAACUACGUCGUUUUGGCACUUGCAUACUUAUCUGUAUGACGUGGAAGAUGCAAUCUCAAUCACUAAUGAGACAAUGACAACUGGACACCUUUAAAGCCCAAAAAAAAGAAAAAGAAAAAAAAGAAAGGACGAUCGUUUCUCUCUGUAAUCAAUCUCUCCCAUAUAUAUAUAUAUACACACACAAAGAUGAGUACACAGGGAGGGAUGCGACACACAAAGAGGAAUAGAGUUGGGGAUGCGACACACAUAGAGAAGGGAUGUAUAUAUGAUGCUGCAAAGAGAGGAAAGAGAGAGCCGUACUCUGUGGUGCCCGAUUCACGUUGACCAUGCUCCGGGAGCACAUUGCCGACGUCGCCGGUAGCUAUAACGAGAUUAAUUUCUGAGCAAUCACAUAAGAGUGUUCUGCUAUGACAAACGGUGCCGACGCUGCUGACAAAGAUGCUGGUUUGUCGUUGAUUUAUUCCCUAUGCACUUUCAACUAAUGGUUUGGGGAUUUUAGGCCAAUAUUUCUUUUCCGUCUACAAGACCCUGCAAUUUUUAGUAGAAUUCCUUUUGUAUCAGUUUGUAUGAUUUGUUUUCAUGAUUGUGCAAUUUCUUUGUAUGCAGUGAACACGAAAUAUACAUAUAUAUAUUUUUCAGAAAGCAUUGCGGUGUGAAGAAGACGAUAAACAGUGAUUUAUAAUUAUGUAUAUAUAUAUAUAUAUAUUUGUGUGUGAUGAUGGACCGUGUGUAUUGAUAUGAAGGUGUGUUAUUAUUAUUAUUUAUUAUUUUUAUUUAUUUAUUUAUUUUUGUAUCAGAAAUUCCUGCCUAUUAUGAAGAAGAUAAUGAAGAUGCAUAGCUAUAUACAUACAUAUAUAUUUGUGCGUGUUGACAAUAAACAGUGUCAUAAGGGUGUGUUUGGUUGAUUAAAAGGUUUUUUUGUGUAAUGGUAAAAUGAGGGGCAUUAGUGUCUUUUCAUGCUCAUAAGGGCAUUAUGGCCAUUAAAAUUAUAAUAUUGGUCACGUGACUGUCACAUGGUCACUUUUAUGGUAGGAUCCGACCGGAACUUCGCCGGAUGGAGUCAUCUGCAACAAAAAUAUAUAGUUCAGGGGGUUAGUUGCAACUUUAGUAGUUCAGGGGGGUUAGUUGCUGAUUCCCCAAUAGUUCAGGGUUUUUUUUUGCAUUUAACCCUAUAUAAAAAAAUAUUAUAUUAUAAUAGAUUAUUAUAUUAUAUAUAAUCUAUAUUUUUAAUUAUAUAUAUAUUGGAUUGAAUUACAAAAAAGCCUAGAAUCGUAGAGCCGAUCUGAACUGAACCGUUUUCUCAUGGUUCGGUUUGGUUUUAUUUGUUUCAUGGUUCGGUUCGGUUUCAAUUUUUAUGGAACCGUUACAAAGGACGGAGCCAGGAAAUUAUGUUGAGGGGGCAAUAGUGUAAUUUUUAAAUAAUUUUAGUGGGGGUGGUAGUGUAAUUUUAUAGGUAUAUAUAUCAAAAUAAAUAAAAUAGUGGGGUAUAUUACUAAAAAAAAAAAAAUUAGUGGGGGCAAUUGCCGUGUGCACCCCUAGUGAUUAUAGGGUUUCAGAUCAUUAAAUGGAUGUUAUAUGACCCAUCUGGAGCCUAGGUCCCCAUGGACAUUCAAUCAACUUAAAAAAUGGAUGGUUUUGGCAAUUUGGGGUUAAAAAUGCUUUCAAAAUUUUGGACUAAAUGCAUCUAGGACCAAUCCUUACCUAGGUUAGGGUCAAUGCAUAGGCGUCCCAUGAUUUGAUGAUUGAUCCCCACUUAAUGAGGAUUGAUCUGCCCCGCAGAAAGAUGAGGACCAUCUGUGCUUAUUAAGGACCAAGCCCCAUGUUUAUGAAUGUUGAGGACUGAUCCCUAUUAGUUGGGUCGUGCCAAUAAAUUUUCAGUUAGAGAGGCUGAACUAGUUAGUAAGUAUGACAGUAAAAUCUAAAGAAAUAUAUAAAUUGUAAUACACACACACACACACACACACACACACACAA